AGCGCUGCAAAAAGCCUGCGGCGCUCUGAGACGCCUGGUCCUGGGGACCUCUUUCCACUCUUUACUCUCAGGAUAGGAGGAUGGGGUCGGGGAAUUCUUUUUGGUUUUCUAGUUUUGUUUUGCUCUCAUUUGAUCGAUUUUAUGUUUUCCUUUUUUUCCUCUUUUUUUUUUUUUUUCUUUUUCUUUUUUGCCUUUUCUUUCCGGUCAUUCUCCCAGCCAAAAGCCGCCUUCGACCCUUUUGAUUUGAUGUAGCAAAGAGUGUGUGUCCAGAUUAUCUGAAAUUGACACUGAAGAAGGUCCAAUCCAAAUCCCGGGCCGGGCCGGACGCUGGAAACCCGCGCCAGCCGCGGUCAGAAGGCCCACGAACUCCCCGAAGUCUUGGAGAUGUCCAAGAAGGAGAAUCUCGUUUCUUCGCUAGGGUCUGGGACUUUGGGAGGUGAGCAGGCCGAGGGAAGGAUUCCCUGCGCCACUCGGUGAGAGGAAGAGGAAGACACAGGCACUCCCCUGGGCCCCCGGUGAGGAGCCACACACUUUACAGGCAAAGGAGGGGUUAAGUCCCGCGUCUAUUGUUCCAGUUGUUCGGCCACGCGUGACCUCUGAAUCCCCAAACAAGAUGUCCGGGGAAAUCCUUCCUGCACCCUAACCAGAUGUCCAGGGACAGGACAGAGGAGCAGGCAGCAAACAAGUUGGGGUGCAGAGGGCAGCGACCGAGCUAGGGCAGUGAAAAUGUGAGAGGAAGGGGAGACACCAGGAGCCUGGGUGGAUACACCCACACAGUGACACCCCGACCAUGAGGCCCACAGAGCCAGAAGUGGAGCCCAGGGCUCAGACCCAGCCUCGAGAAGCCUGCUUGGCGCAGAGGCAGCGGCGAGGUACCUGAGUCUGCGUGAGUCCCAAGGAGGCCGCGAGCUCCGCCCUCUCAGGCAGAGCCAAGUACUGAGUUUGCUGGAACCUCCGGUUCAAAGCCUGCAACUGCAAACUGGAAUAAAUUGUCCUGGGUUUGCGGAUCUUCUUCCCUUUGCCAUUGAAGCGCACUUCACCGCCCUCCACCACGGUGCUCUUCUCGGAGUCCGCCCCUGCAGCGACAGCAGAAGUGGGGUCGUUAACACAGGGGCUGCCUUUAGUGUGGAGAGACGAGAACGGGCGGCAGUCGAGGGGAUGGCAGAGACCGGCCGGGAACAGCGCGUUCCAGAAACUCUGGAAGCCUGGGAGGGACUUCCAAAGUCUGAGGGCCAGUCCCGGGCUGCUGCAGACAGGAUGGGGCCGUCAUGGGAGAGCAGCAAUUGCCUUUGCAGGGAAAGUUUGCUAUUUUUGCAGGCGGUAGUUGAGGUUUAAUUACCCUUAAUUGCAUACAUUGUUUAUAGCGCCACGCAAUAAAUAAUUACCGAGACUAA